AUUUGGUUAAAGCAGAACUUUUUUUAAGUAUAGCCGCACAGUAAAAAAAAAAAAACAUGCAAUUCUGUAGUGAAAAGAUUCUGAAGGUUACAUGGGUUCAUGGUAAAUAAAAUCUGAAUUGACCACCUUAAUCAAUUGUGUACACAAUUUAGAGCUAUUAUAAUUUUCAGAGGUGAUAUACUUUCUGAAAAUGUAUUUUUCCUUUCAGAUAUGGUAUUGUUAUCUUCGCUGGGAUUGAUGGUUAUUCACGAAAGAUAAUGUACCUGGGUUCUGCAAAUAAUAACAAGGCAUCAACAGCACUUGGCUUCUUCAUGAGCUCAGUUGAAAAGUUUGGCUUUCCAUUAAGAGUUAGAGGAGACCAAGGGGUCGAAAAUGUUGGCAUUGCUCAAUGCAUGUUCACUGUUCGUGGCUGUGGCAGAGCAAGCUACAUAUCGGGAAAAAGUGUGCAUAAUCAAAGG